CGGAUUUUACCAAAAAAAGAGCCGCCACCAAACUAAUACGGGGAAAAAUUGUCCACAUAGGAAAUGAGUAACACAGUGUCGUAAACUACCCUUAAUCAAGCCUUGGCAACAGCUGCACUUCUCUGUGGUCAUUGCAUUUCUCCCGCCACCAACACACUUCCCGUCCACCCGAAAACCCCCCAACUCCAGACGCUCCUACUUCAAUCCUCGAGCUCUAUCUUUCAACUAUUCAGAUGUUGACCUCUAUCUUUCAACAAUUCUGAUGUUGACCUAGCCAAUAUCGACAAGGAGAUAAGAAGGAUGACGCUAGCGACGUUAAAUCAAAAGUGGCUUUAAGUCUGCAGUUGUUUGUGAUUGGGAAUGACGAGGCAGAGGAACUUAUUCUCCAUGAGCUCUUCCAUCUUCACAUCAUCCACGAAAUUAUUUUGUAUUGCCAUAAUAGCUAAUCUAUUAAGCCUCUCUUGUGUCACCAUAGAGUGCAAAUAAAACUUCAACAACUUCAAUUUGG
rnacentral:lncRNA from 1 species